UAUUAAAGGCAACGCCUGCCCAGUGAAUAAUUAAACGGCCGCGGUAUCCUAACCGUGCAAAGGUAGCGUAAUCACUUGUCUAUUAAUUGUAGACCCGUAUGAAAGGCAUAAUGAGGGUCUAACUGUCUCUUUUAGUCAAUCAAUUAAACUGAUCCCCUAGUCCAAAAGCUAGGAUACAACCAUAAGACCAGAAGACCCUGUGAAGCUUUUAACUAAACUAUUAAACCCACUAAUAACUCCUUUAGGUUGGGGCGACCUUGGAAAAAAAAAGAACUUCCAAACAUACAAUAUAACAAUAUUGACACAGGCCAACAAGCCAACCAACGACCCAGCACAGCUGACAAUUGAACCAAGUUACUCCAGGGAUAACAGCGCUAUCUUCUUCAAGAGCCCAUAUCAAAAAGAAGGUUUACGACCUCGAUGUUGGAUCAGGACAUCCUAACGGUGCAGCCGCUGUUAAGGGUUCGUUUGUUCAACGAUUAACAGUCCUACGUGAU
rnacentral:rRNA from 1 species